rnacentral:rRNA from 1 species
CCUACGGGUGGCAGCAGUGAGGAAUAUUGGUCAAUGGGCGAGAGCCUGAACCAGCCAAGUCGCGUGAAGGAUGAAGGAUCUAUGGAUUGUAAACUUCUGUUAUAUGGGAAUAAAGUGAGGAACGUGUUCCUUUUUGUAUGUACCAUAUGAAUAAGCAUCGGCUAACUCCGUGCCAGCAGCCGCGGUAAUACGGAGGAUGCGAGCGUUAUCCGGAUUUAUUGGGUUUACAGGGUGCGUAGGUGGUUACUUAAGUCAGCGGUGAAAGUUGGUGGCUCAACCCUAAAAUUGCCGUUGAAACGGGUUGCCUUGAGUAUAUUUGAGGUCGCCGGAAUGCGUGGUGUAGCGGU